GGCACAGAGUUUUGAUACUGUGGGUAAGGAACCAGCAUUAUUAUGGUUCAUUUUGAAUGAAUUUAUUGGACCAAAUAAACCAACUGGUUGUCAAAUUAUUGUGUGGGUUUCUGAUAUUAGAAUGUUUCACCAAAAAUAUUAUUUCUUUGUAUCUUUAUUCAUUCUACAUUCACAUUCAAAGCAGCAUCUGCAACUUCUGAAUUAUGGGUGGACAGGACACUUGAGUAUUUCUAUAGAUCAUUGAAUCUGAAAUUUUUAUGUAUUCCCUGAUCAAUAGCAUCAUUUCUUCAAUAUUCACAACAAUGCACCAACACGCUACUAAUCUCUGUUGCUUUAUUUAAUGAUAUUGGGACAGUUUGUCUGUUCAAUUUCUUUAUUCUACCAAUCAACUGGAUAGAGUUGCAGGAGAAUUAAAUAAUUCUCUGAGUGCUUUAACUUGGUGAUUCAUUCUUUUGGCAUCGAUUCUUCAUCCAGGAUGGUUUGCUAGGGAUCCAGUG
rnacentral:misc_RNA from 1 species